GCUCUUUGUUAAAAGUGCUAUAUAAAUAAAAUUGAAAUGAAUGUGCAUGUAAAGGCAGAUGUCCCAAAACUUUUGGCUAUAAAGUGUAUAUUACCUUUUGCACAUACCGUACACUUGUAAAUAAAUUACCUUGGUUUCUCUAAGUCAACCUUUAGGGACGUAACAGUCACAUUGGACGGAGGCAUAUUUAGAAGGAGAACUGCUGGUUACAGGAGGAUUUGGUUGUGGGUUUGCUGGGAUACGGAAAGAAGACGGAUUGCCAGUAAGUCUUUCCAUUUCUGUUUUUACUCUAGCCUUUGACCAGUUUUCUACACAAUCAGAAGUAAAGUUGAUCAGUGCCACUAAUGGACAGAAGGUUGCAAUCAAGUCUCCAAAAAGAUGCCAUUUGAAAAACUGCAGCUUGCACACCUGAAAAUGCCCCUCCUGAGUGGUUCAGACAGGAGCAGUACCAGACAGACCCCGCUACCGUCUUUUCUGUGGGUGUGACGCUGUACAGGCUGGUGUGUGGCUGUCUUCCUUUCGAGACCAUUAGGGAAACGACAAAUGGCUAUUUGUUCUUCCCCACGAAAGUCUGUCUCAAGGCAAGGAACUAUACUCAAUUUAAUACUUUUGAAAAAUUAUGAUUCAGAUUAGGAGGUAAAUUCUCCCAACCAGGAAAGGGUGCUAGUUCCAGCCAAUCGUCACAGUAUUUAAGCAGUCCUGUGUGCACGCUAAUGUGAAGUACUGUAAUGAGAAAAUGAGGAAAAGAAAGAAAAGAAUUGACAACAAAAAUCGUGUUUUCCAGUAAAAAUGGGAAACAGAUUAUCUUUUCAAGAGUUCAAGGGGGCACCCAUUUGUUUGGUUUGUUUAGAAAUGAGGUCUGUAAUGAAGGAUUUUAAUUUAAAUCACCAUUACACCACUACUCCCAAAUAUAAGUAUGAAAGAUACACCGGUGACGCCAGAAUUGCUCCCAUCACAAAUUUGUAAAAGUAAAAUACAUCGUCAGCAAAACCUUUUUGCCAAAUGCAUGACGGUGCAAGAAUCCUCACUAAAGGCAUCUUAUGCUGUUUCACUUGUGCUUGCAAAAGCAAAGAUGAUGUUAUCAGAGGGCGAAAUUGUACAUCAAUACGCGAUUGAGAUGGCUAAAGCAUUUGGAGAAGAGAAAAUAGUCAUGAACUUUGAGUCUGUAUCUUUGUCCCGCCGAACAGUAACGUGGAAUUUCUGACUUUCAAUGUCAAGUCUAAGAAAAACUAAAAUAUGCAAUAAACAAUUGCAAAUACUUUUCUCUUGCGCUGUAUGAAAGUACAGACGUGACCGAUGCCAGUCAGCUACUGAUCUUUGCAAGAACGAUUACAGGCAACUUUAAUGAUCAAGAGGAGCUGUUAAAGCUGGCUUCAUUACAUGACACCACUACGCUUCAGUGGCCUGUAUGGCCACACCUGUGUCUCAAAGGAGAAUCGAGAUGCAGAGCAUUAUGAGGAAGUAACCUCCAAAUGAUCUUGGCUUGUUCUACAUUGAAUCACACAUGACUAAAUGCACUGAUACUUUGAAUUUUGAAUAUAAUGUUUCAUUUCUAAAAUUGUAAGACUGUUAUG